CAGCUCAGAGAGGAGAAGUGGUUGGAUGUGAACCUGAAGAUGCUGAGGCCUGUCCUGCCCCUUUUCAGGAAGACCCCGUCCACCAGCCGCAUGGAGGACAGCAGGGCCAGGAGAUGGGGAAUCCAGAGAAAGUUAUUCACCUACAGGACCCAGCUGGGCAUGUCUCUGGAUUUCUAAGUCCAGAAGUUCAGAACCUGAAAUGGACCAUCCAUGGUAUGUUCCUUCCGGAGGCUCCAAGGAAGAAUCCAUUUCCCUGCCUUUUCCAGCUUCUGGAGGCCCCCGGCAACCUGGCUCUGUGGCCCCACAUCACUCCGACCUCGGCUUCCACCAUCACAUCUGCUUCUCUGACUCUGACCCGCCUGUCCCCUCCCUCUGACAACCUAGGUAAUCCAGGGCCAUCUCCUGAUCUCGAGACUUAAGCCCAUUUACAGAGGCCCUUUUGCCCAGUGAGGACUGGUCGUGGCAGCCAGCUUUCCCAGCGGAUCUGGGGCUUCAGAGGAACUUCCCAGAACCUGCUUCCUUCCAGAUGCAAUUUGGGGAGAGUGAACUGAGUCUAAAAUGUUACCCACCUCCUGCGUAUAAUGAAACCAGCUGGAGAGAGGCACAUGUGUUGCUUGGAGUCCCCUGGGCACAUUAAACCAUGUUCUUACUAAUAGGAACCAGCACCCCAUUGAAACACCAAUGGAACAUUUUCUCCCCUGAGGGCACCUGAGCAGUUCUGGAGGGUGGGGCUGUUGCUGUGGGCUUCUGGUAGCUGUGGUUCCUAAUGAGCCUCGAGGCUCUUUAGGAAUGGGAUCUACCUAAUUCUCCCAGGAUGGGCCAUGGAGGAGGGCACGUUGACCAAAGAAUGCCAACGACAUCGUCACCAGAACUUCUGUAUGUUUUCACGAAGACUGUAAAGUUUCUGAACAGGGGAAAGGAGACUCGACAAUCAACAGGGUCCUUUGCUAUCGGCAACAGAAGGAGACUGUGAAUAAGGAUAGACAUUAUGGAGAUGCUCAGAAGAUGGAAGGAAAGACUAGAAAAUGAGGUUUGGGGGAAAAAAAUCAAGUUGUGCAGAUCCAGUGGGGUGGGGGGGUCUCAGUAGCAAAACCCACCUGACAGUCUGAUCUGGGAACCGGAGCUGCAAUGAAUUACCUCUGUCUUCCCUCAGGGUUCUUUUCAUCAGAUCCCGCCAUUUGGAACACUUUCUCAGUUUUUGCCCAGCUAACUGUGUCAGGCUCACCUUGUCCUUUUCCUGUCCUGACCCUAGAUUCGGCCAUUUCUCAAGGAGCUCUGGUUGCUUUUUGUGGGGAAUGGUGUUUAGACCCCAAGACGGAGAGUAAGAUGCAUGCUGUGCUGCCACGCUGUCCCCACUUCUUGGCCUCCCAGUGGACAGAGCAUCCACAUGUGCCUGCGCGCAUGCGUGUGUGUGUGUGUGUGUGUGUGUCCCCAUGUCUAAUCUAAUGGGACUCUGUACCGAUGUCUUCAUGCCGGCCUGAUGCCACAGGGCUCCCCGUUGCCAUUCUGCAUCCCGUGUUGGUGUCUCCCGCUUCUCCCUCAGUGGGAACCCAGGCUUUCAGCACAGCCAAAAUAUUUACUCAUUUGUUUAACCCUGCAACACACACAAAAUCAUUUCCGAAUUGUCAUCUCCAAACCACUACAACAGCCUCUCUACAAAACAGAAUUCAGGAUUCAUUUGCGGUCCUUUCGGGUCAUUGAACUGAGGGUCCCUAGUCCAGGUGCUAGGUUCAGAAGAUUCCGAAAGACUGUAUGAAAACAGUAUUUUCAGUAGAAGGCCCUUGCUCUCCAGUCACUUCCACCACGACCCCCACCCCCACCCCACCAGGGCCAUUAGUCUUUGGUCAUCAGACCUGUACAUCUUCUUUCAAAAAUAAGCUGGACAGAUGAUGCUAAAAAUACCCAUGAGUGUCCUCACUGACAGACCCUAGUUCCAGGAGGCCCCGGGGCCCUCUGCCUCAGUGACUCACCAGCUGAUCUGGGGAAGCGGCACUGCCCGGAAGCGCUUGGCUUGCAGCAGCGUUGACGGACUCUGAGUGGAGAGUGCCCGCAGUGGAUUCCAGACCUUCACAAGACAUCCCGGAGAAUAUUGCUUGGAGGAGGCCUGAAACAAAGGGAGGUUCACUAUAUCACACUUGGAGAGGACAGCUGGUUGCCCAGACCCCAGCUACCGGCACCCCACCUCCCACGUGGUCCCGCCUUCGCCAAGAGCCAGCUGCAGAGGCCUCUGUCUGCCUGUUCCCCUCAGGCGUCUGCACCUGCUGUUUCCUGCACCUGGAAUAAUCCUCCCAGAGGUGUCCUGAGGUUGGGUCACUCUUGUCAGUCAACUCCAAUGCCACGUCUUCGGAAAGGCUCUUCCUGACUUUCUCUGCUCAGAAAUUUGUCUGCUCAGGUUCCCGGGACAAGAUGCCACAGAAUGGGGGGCCUGAACCCCAGAAAUUUCUUGCUUGUGGUUCUGGAGACUAGAAGUCUGAGAUCAGGAGCCCCACAGGAUGUGUCUCUGAUGUGUGUGUGUGUGUGUGUGUGUCUUCAUCUCCUCUUCUUAGAAGGACACCAUCAUUUUGAAUUAGGGCCCACUCGAGUGACUCACUGGAAUUUCAGUAUC